GGGCGCCGCUGAGCGGAGGGAGGGAUCUGCGGCCUAGCGACGGUUGAGGCCGUUGCUGCGGGUUUUCGUGCGUUGGCGCAGAUCGGGAAGGGGGAGGGGCCUCGGUUCACAGACUUCGGGCCGAUGUCUCAUUUCCCCAAACACGGCCGGCGAAAGGGAUUCCCUUCUCGCGUCGGUGGAUUGUCCCGCGUGGCUUUUUAAAGAAAGCGUGGGGGGGCACCCCCCAUUCUGAGCGCCUACACCUCCCCCGCCCUUUCUUUUGACCACGUCCUGCCUCCGCCAUUGUCGUGGGUGUUUCCUCGAGGCGCGCUGCGGUCUCGACUGGCAGGCUGCAGGGAGGAAAUGGCUAGGGGUUGAUUCGGCCUUCUGUUCCCUACCACACUGUUGUGAAAAGAGGGAGGUAAAGGAUCUCUGCACGGAAGGAAGAUCCGCAAUGGUUGUUGGGUUGGAAAUCCCCAAAAUGGAAGGGAGCGGGACACGUGACCGACGUCAAUAACAAAACGGAGCGAACGGAUCUCGCUCUGGUCCACCUUCGCCCCAUUGCGCAAUAUUAUGCAGCUUGGUCGAGCUCUGUUUUGAGCGACCUUCUCAUGUAUCGCUCAAAGAAACGAAAGCUUCUGCUCCUCCCCACGAAGUGCCUUUAGAGUAAUAGGCCCUGCAAUGGUAGUAGUUGCCUAUCCCUGGCCUAGAGUACAGACGGAAAUCAUGAGACUCCCUCAUAAGCAACGCUCCGCCAGACCGGACUCUUGACCUAUCUAGUCCAGUGGUCUCCUCUCACAUGACCAACCAGCUGCAUAAGGAAGCCCACUAGUUUCCCACCAGAUGGUCUUCAGAGCAACCACAUUGCCAUUAAAGCUAAUAGUGUGUUGUGGAAAAUUAAUGUCAUGAAGAGGUCCUUUAUUUUCAAGCUCCUCAGUUGAAAACAUUUAAAUCGAGCAGGAGUGGGGGAUUAUGGCCCUUUUAUGACUUGUGGACUUCAAUUCCCCGAAUUCCAGAGCCAACAUGGCUGGCUCAGGAAUUCUGGGAGUUGAAGUCCAUAAAUCAUAAAAGGGCCAUAGUUCCCGGCCUCUGAACUAGAGCUUGAUUCUAUUUACAGUAAUCAACAUUUAUCAAAUUCUAAAUGAGAAUUACAAUACUUCAACUGCUAAUUAAUUCUAGUCUUUACUAUUUUAAGUCUGUAAAGUAUGUCUUUGCUUGAAAGUACUAUGAAGUGCAGUUUUUGUGUAAUUUAACAAGCUUCCUUAAUGUAUCUCUGAAAGUUUCCAUCCUCUUAAAGAUUAAGAAUGCUGCAGUGGAAGCUGAAAGUGUAUUAUUCAGCUACUUGAAGAUCUGUGCUGGCCUUUUACAAUUUAGUUAGUGCAGUGAGUUGCCAGUAAUCAGUGGUAAGACUCUCUGAGAAGUUAGGAUUUUAACUUUGGUUCUUUAUAUAAAAUCACAGGAGCCUGGUUUGGGCAUAACAUUAAACUUUAAUGGACAGGUACAUGUGUUGUAAAUCAACAAUAAACCACAAUUGUUACUGGUGAACAAAUUAUGAAUUUAGAUUAAAUAUGCUUUAAUAGUAUACUGAAUUAGUACAGUUUUUCUUCUUUGUCUUCCUCAACACUACCCAUUAAUAGAUAAAAUGUAUAUAGAAUGAAUAUGGCUGACAGCAUACUUGUCACAUUAAUUUCAAAACAAAUUUGAGAUUGACCCUAAUGAAAAUGGUAAAGUGAUGUACCUAACAAAUCUUUAUUGAAAUUAAAGUACAUAUAAAAUGGUAA